CAGACACGGAAAAGAUGCUAGUGAACUUUACCCGGAAGGAAGGACGCACUGUGACGGCAAUCGGAAGGAUGGAGAUGUGUGAGGACCACGUCAGGCUGUUUGUGAUGCAGAUUCCCAUGGCUGAUUACUUGCUCCACCUCAGCUCCUCUGCACGUUUCCUGAUUUCCUCUCUAUUUGACGUCUCAUUGUUCUCUGUAAUCCGUCCAUUGACGGUCGCGUCAUCUGCAAACUUCAUAACAGAGUUUUAUUCAUGUUCCUGUACAGUCAUUGGUGUGCAUAGUGACCAGGAAGGGGCUGUGCACACAGCACUGUUGGGCUCCGGUGUUGGAACAAUAACAAUAUGGUGCAUUUUAAAACUCCUCAUAAUAAACAAUUUUCCCUUUAAAGUAGC